rnacentral:rRNA from 1 species
UACAGAGGGUGCGAGUGUUGUUCGGAAUUAUUGGGCGUAAAGGGCGCGUAGGCGGUUUGGUAAGUCAGGUGUGAAAGCCCUGGGCUUAACCCAGGAAUUGCAUUUGAAACUGCCAAGCUAGAGUGCGAAAGAGGAGAGCGGAAUUCCCGGUGUAGAGGUGAAAUUCGUAGAUAUCGGGAGGAACACCAGUGGCGUAAGCGGCUCCCUGGGUCAAAACUGACGCUCAUGCACGAAAGCGUGGGGAGCAAACAGG